rnacentral:rRNA from 1 species
AUUGAACGCUGGCGGCAGGCCUAACACAUGCAAGUCGAGCGGAGCGGCGGACGGGUGAGUCAUGCCUAGGAAUCUGCCUGGUAGUGGGGGUUAACGUCCGGAAACGGGCGCUAAUACCGCAUUCUAUCCGAUGCGCCUCGGUCGGCUUAGCUCGUUGGUGGGUUAAAGGCCUACCAAGGCGACGAUCCGUAACUUGUCCGCGAGUAGUAUCAGUCACACUGGAACUGAGACACGGUCCAGACUCCUACGGGAGGCAGCAGUGGGGAAUAUUGGACAAUGGGCGAAAGCCUGAUCCAGCCAUGCCGCGUGUGUGAAGAAGGUCUUCGGAUUGUAAAGCACUUUAAGUUGGGAGGCGUGACCAACAGAAUAAGCACCGGCUAACUUCGUGCCAGCAGGCGCGGUAAUUC